rnacentral:rRNA from 1 species
UACGAAGGGUGCAAACGUUGCUCGGAAUCAUUGGGCGUAAAGCGCACGUAGGCGGCCUCAUAAGUCGGAUGUGAAAUCCCUCGGCUCAACCGAGGAAGUGCAUCCGAAACUGCGAGGCUCGAGUAUGGAAGAGGGUCGCAGAAUUCCCGGUGUAGAGGUGAAAUUCGUAGAUAUCGGGAGGAAUACCGGUGGCGAAGGCGGCGACCUGGGCCAAUACUGACGCUCAUGUGCGAAAGCGUGGGGAGCAAACAGG